rnacentral:antisense_RNA from 1 species
UGUUAUGGCGGCUGUACGUAGGCACGCUUUGGCGUGACCGGAUCGUGUAGCCGGUUCCUACCCUGCGUACAGCUGCCACCCGG